rnacentral:sRNA from 1 species
CAGUGUUAUUAAGAAGCAGAGAGGUGAGUGUAGAACAAGGACUUGACUAUGUAGCAACUUGGAACUCGGCUAUGCUUAUAUCAGAUGAUCUCAACG